rnacentral:rRNA from 1 species
UAAGGCGGUCAUAGCGCGGGGGUUCCACCCCUCCCCAUUCCGAACAGGGAAGUUAAGCCCCGCCACGCCGAUGGUACUGGUAACCCGGGAGAGUAGGUAGCCGCCCCCU